CGCUCCAGGAACGCUGGCUGAGGAAUUCUGGGGGUUGAAGUCCAGGAGUCAAAAGGCCCAAGUCUGAAGACCCCUGUUCACAAGGAGCCAGAACGAGAGAUAUGUGCUUCCUAGAGGGGACCUGGUCCUGCGCCCUGCAUGGAAGUCGGGGAGGCUCCGCUGAAAGGUGGGGCUCUCCUUGGUCUCUGGGUCCAGCGCAGGACGGACGGAUCGCGGGGCUGAACGUCGGAAGGCGGCUGGUAGCUCCUUUUCCAGCUGACACCUUUCCUUGCAAAAGGAGAGUUUCGUGAGUGCAGCCGCCUCCGUCAGAUGCAGAGACUGAAGCAGGAUGGAAAUCCGGGAGGGAAAGGCAGGUUGGAUCCGGGGCUGCGAACGAGGGGAAGCCUCGCCCUCUGCCUCGCCCUGGAUUUCGGCAGGAUGGCUGGAGCAAAGAUCUUCCUUCCCUCUAUGCUCCCUUCCUGGAGACGGGACUUGCUCUCUAGGCGUAAAGCGUUUCUCCCGGCGCUUCGUUUGCCGGGUUGCUAGAGCAGAAGGGAGCGUAGAGGACUGAGGGAUUCGGUUUAACGGAGCUGGCGCCGAUCCCUUCGUUUUUCAUGACUCUGUUUAAAUGCUCCUCCUCUGGAAACUGUGAAAGAUUAUCUUGCAGAAAAUCUUAUCUAUCUGAUCAAUCAAUACGCAUUUCAUGGUCCGUAAUCAAUUUAUCAAGAAUUUGUAUAACUAAAGAUCGAGAAUAAGCUAAAAAAAAUUCUCAAUUUCAUAUAACUAAAUGGAUUUCUCAGAGUAGCUAUUUGCAUAUGUUUUACACAGGAAUUAUACUUUUCUCCUUUACGUAUUGAAUUUAUAAAAUAAAACUAUUUAUUAUUUAUCAUCCAAAGCUCUUUGAAAAUCAGAUCGAUGUUUUUAGUUUAGGUCUUCUGCUAAAAGACAAGAACUAAACUCAGAAUAAAGAGUAGCACAGUUGAUUCUUAAAGGCCCCCACCCCCAAAUUUGAGCAUUUGUUACAGGAGGCUUUUCCCUUUCUGGUCAAAUAUUAUUGGUAGUUUGUAAAUGGGGAAGAAGAACCACUCCAAUCCUAACUCAACUCUGGGGCUUCCAGUGGGCUUUGGGUGAGAGUGGCUGAGAAGAGGGAAGCCCCCUGCUAAAUCAUGCAUUUGUACUUUGAUUAUUCCUCUGCCAUGAAUUUUUAUUUUUAUUAUUUCAGAGGUAUUGUAAUUUUGUAGCUAUAUAUAUUGGUAUUUUUUGUUGCUUUUAACUUUUUAAGUCGCCCAGAGUUCUUUUGGUGAGACAGGUGCAAAGUAAAAAACAAUAAUUAAUAAUUUAAUCACCUCAUUGGAGAAUGGGUUAGACAGGAGUUUCUAUGCAAAAAUACCCUUGUCACCUAAAUCUGUGUUCAUGUGUUUUUGCUCCAAUGACCUCCUAUGUGCUUAAUUUCACCCAUCCAAUCUAAACAAGCUGCAAAAUAUAAUUUCAAAUUUGGUUAACUUAAACUUCCUCUUUCUUUAGCAUCUAGUGACAUGUUGUAUUUAACUCCAGGUUUUUUACCCUAAGGUAUCAAUUUUGAUAUGCUUUUCUUCUAUUCUUUAAAUGCUACAUGACUUGUGAGAACAAGUUUGGUCUGGGACAAAAAUAAUAUUCAAAGAUAAAUGUCAUCUUCAUCAUAGAAAUUCUCCCCAGCAAUUGUAGUCUUUCUCUCUUUAACAUAUCUUUAUCAAACUUCAACCCAUAGCUUAACAUAAUUUUUCAAAACAAUGUACAGUUCAUAUUUGUCAGAUUAACACCCAAGUAUUUUACUUUUUAUUCAAUCUCAGCACUAGUGAUUCAUUUAUAGGAGGGUCUGAGCUGGGCCUUAGAAGCGCACUCCACCAAAUACCAGCUGUGGAAGGAGUUGCCAGUAUUAGUGGUGUUGGGGAAACUUUAAGAGGACUGCAGAAGAAUGCAGUGAAAGUUCUGCAUCAAUAAGAGGACUGGGGCUUCACUAUAGUUGGGGAGGGGGCGAAGAGAGAAAACUUUCUGGGAGACAUGCCUGCUGCAAUGGGAAUUGGGGGAGGGGCAAUUUGGCUGCUACUGUGUGUGGGGACUCCCUACUCAGUCCCAUUUUGGUGCAGAAAUACCAGCCUUUCUUCACCUGCAUUCCCCUAGUACCCAUUUCUGCUCCUUUCUUUGUGUCGUUGUGUGUGUGUGUGUAUGUGUACCCAUUGUUAUCCUCUUCCAGAAGGGACUAUAAAGAUACAAAGGGGCCUUCCUCAAGGUGGCAUCUUAGAUUUGCUUUUGGAGACGUCAAGAACAUGCAGACCUCUUACGUAGGAAUAGCGAUGGUAAGUCUCCUGCGGAUAUCCUUUUCCCACUGGCUGUUCAGUGAUCGUUUCUGCAUCCAGAUUAUUCCAGCUGGAAAAAACAAACACAGAACACUCUGGAAUGUUCUUGAGCUUUGCAGCUGGAGGUGGUUGCAGCUUAUGGUCCUUUGCAGCACGACAGAAGAUAAAAUGCAUGCUGAAGAAGGCUCGGAUCCUUGGAAUCCAAAGUUCAUUUGGCCAGCCUAGUCCAGGAGUCGCCCCUAGAAACACCUUUUGAGGGGAGGAUAUUUUCAACCAGUCUCUUUGAGAGCAAAAGAGAAGCAUGCUGAAUAGCCCAGGGUUCAAUAGGCUGGCUGAAAAAGAUUAGUUUGGAUUUUGGAGUCGAGCUUUUUCAGUCAGGCCCCAGAAACCAGUUCUUCCUUACAGGCUUCUUCAUUGACUUUCAGUAAAGUCUGCAGAAAAGUUGCAAAUAUUAAUCACAUGAUUAUAGGGCACUUGGCAACAGGCGUGAAAGUACUGGAGACACCAUAAGUAUAUUCAAACUGUGAUAUGAUAAUGCCUUCUACUGUAAAAUGUGGCUUUCUGACAUUUCUACUCGAUGUAACCAAAACUCUUAAGGGGUCUUGUUCAGUUUCUAGCAUUAACCUGGUUUUCAAAUAUACAAA